ACUCCUACGGGAGGCAGCAGUGGGGAAUAUUGCACAAUGGGCGCAAGCCUGAUGCAGCGACGCCGCGUGGGGAUGAAGGCCUUCGGGUUGUAAACUCCUUUCGCUAUCGACGAAGCCAUUUUGUGGUGACGGUAGGUAGAUAAGAAGCACCGGCUAACUACGUGCCAGCAGCCGCGGUAAUACGUAGGGUGCAAGCGUUGUCCGGAAUUACUGGGCGUAAAGAGCUCGUAGGUGGUUUGUCGCGUCGUCUGUGAAAUCCCGGGGCUUAACUUCGGGCGUGCAGGCGAUACGGGCAUAAACUUGAGUGCUGUAGGGGAGACUGGAAUUCCUGGUGUAGCGGUGAAAUGCGCAGAUAUCAGGAGGAACACCGAUGGCGAAGGCAGGUCUCUGGGCAGUAACUGACGCUGAGGAGCGAAAGCAUGGGUAGCGAACAGGAUUAGAUACCCUGGUAGGCUCUG
rnacentral:rRNA from 1 species